AAGGAACAAAUGAGCAAGCAAACAGAGGCGGAUGCAAAGCGAACAGCAAGCGGCUUCAUUCACAAUGUUUUGUAUCAAGAAAGUGAGUGGUUUUAUCUGUGCACUUGACAGCGCAAGCCGAUAAGCAUUGCUGAGGGAGAGACGGGGGCUGCUUCUUUAAACUCUCUCUCACCCCCACUUUCCCUUCAUUACACCACUCCCCCUCCCUCCUUCUCUCUCUCUCUCUCUGGCUCGCUCGCUCUUUGUCUUUCCCCUCCCCUCUCUCCCCGCUCCAUCUCUCUGUGGGAACAGACACUGCCCUGUCUCACUCCAAUUGGCUGGGAAGCCACCAAUCUGGUGUCCAGGAGGGCCGGGGGGACUGCAUAUGCAAAGCCCUGCUUCAUAUUAAUGAGCAGCAAUCGUGGCUUUAAGUCCUUGAUUAGAAGAGUGCAAGAGCUUUUGGUCCCAACUGGCUGUGCCUAUAGGCUGUCACCGGGAGAACGGUCCUGUUAAUUGCACUGCUCAGUCACGGAAGGGAGAGAGAGGAGGAGGAGGUACAGAGAGAGGAAGAGAGGAGCAGACACAGAGAAGCCAAAGAGAGAGAGAGAGAAAACUUUAAUUUAUAGAAGAGGUUUGCUCAAACAAUGAUCGCAGAGUGCACAUGGAUUCGGUAGAACUUUCGCUCCCUGAGUGUUUUUCCCUGCACUCCGAACAACAAAUGAAUUUAUCAAAGGCCCAAGUUAAUAGCGAAGAUAAGUACGCCAAAUGCAACGCUUGGAGAACACAACAGCAAUACGACAUCGAGGCCAGUCACAUGCGUGAUGCACAUGCUCUAUAUAACCAAAGGCUGCUCUGCAGAAUGUCCAGCAAGGACCGCCACAUUGAGUCCAG